GGCGGCGUGCUUAACACAUGCAAGUGAACCGGAGUUACGUAUGAAGUAUUUCGGUACGGACUAUGUAACUUAGUGGCGAACGGGUGAGUAACACGUGGGUAAUCUACCCUCGGGAUCGGGAUAACCUCGCGAAAGUGGGGAUAAUACCGAAUAAAGUCUCGGUAUAAUUUGUCGAGAUGAAAGAUGGGGAUCUUCGGACCUAUUACCUGAGGAUGAGCCUGCGCCUGAUUAGCUAGUUGGUAGGGUAAAUGCCUACCAAGGCAACGAUCAGUAGCUGGUCUGAGAGGAUGAUCAGCCACAUUGGGACUGAGAUACGGCCCAGACUCCUACGGGAGGCAGCAGUGAGGAAUUUUGCGCAAUGGGCGAAAGCCUGACGCAGCAACGCCGCGUGACUGAUUAAGCUCUGAGGAGUGUAAAAGUCUGUCGUAGAGGAAGAAACUAUCCGAUAAGAAUAUUGUCGGAUACUGACGGUACUCUAUGAGAAAGCUCCGGCUAACUCCGUG
rnacentral:rRNA from 1 species